rnacentral:rRNA from 1 species
UACGUAGGGUGCGAGCGUUAAUCGGAAUUACUGGGCGUAAAGCGUGCGCAGGCGGUUUUGUAAGCCAGAUGUGAAAGCCCCGGGCUUAACCUGGGAAUGGCAUUUGGGACUGCAAGGCUAGAGUGCGGCAGAGGAGACUGGAAUUCCUGGUGUAGCAGUGAAAUGCGUAGAUAUCAGGAGGAAUACCGAUGGCGAAGGCAGGUCUCUGGGCAGUAACUGACGCUGAGGAGCGAAAGCGUGGGGAGCGAACAGG